rnacentral:rRNA from 1 species
UACGAAGGGGGCUAGCGUUUCUCGGAAUCACUGGGCGUAAAGGGCGCGUAGGCGGAUCUUUAAGUCGGGGGUGAAAGCCCAGGGCUCAACCCUGGAAUUGCCUUCGAUACUGAAGAUCUCGAGACCGGAAGAGGUAAGUGGAACUGCGAGUGUAGAGGUGAAAUUCGUAGAUAUUCGCAAGAACACCAGUGGCGAAGGCGGCUUACUGGUCCGGUUCUGACGCUGAGGCGCGAAAGCGUGGGGAGCAAACAGG